GCAGUGGGGAAUAUUGCACAAUGGGGGAAACCCUGAUGCAGCAACGCCGCGUGAAGGAUGACGGUUUUCGGAUUGUAAACUUCUUUUCUUAGUGACGAAGACAGUGACGGUAGCUAAGGAAUAAGCAUCGGCUAACUACGUGCCAGCAGCCGCGGUAAUACGUAGGAUGCAAGCGUUAUCCGGAUUUACUGGGUGUAAAGGGAGCGCAGGCGGGACUGCAAGUUGGAUGUGAAAUACCGUGGCUUAACCACGGAACUGCAUCCAAAACUGUAGUUCUUGAGUGAAGUAGAGGCAAGCGGAAUUCCGAGUGUAGCGGUGAAAUGCGUAGAUAUUCGGAGGAACACCAGUGGCGAAGGCGGCUUGCUGGGCUUUAACUGACGCUGAGGCUCGAAAGUGUGGGGAGCAAACAGGAUUAGAUACCCUGGUAGUCCACACUGUAAACGAUGAUAGCUAGGUGUGGGGGGUCUGACCCCUUCCGUGCCGGAGUUAACGCAAUAAGCUAUCCACCUGGGGAGUACGACCGCAAGGUUGAAACUCAAAGGAAUUGACGGGGGCCCGCACAAGCAGUGGAGUAUGUGGUUUAAUUCGAAGCAACGCGAAGAACCUUACCAGGUCUUGACAUCCGAUGCAUAGUGCAGAGAUGCAUGAAGUCCUUCGGGACAUCGAGACAGGUGGUGCAUGGUUGUCGUCAGCUCGUGUCGUGAGAUGUUGGGUUAAGUCCCGCAACGAGCGCAACCCCUGCCAUUAGUUGCUACGCAAGAGCACUCUAAUGGGACCGCUACCGACAAGGUGGAGGAAGGUGGGGACGACGUCAAAUCAUCAUGCCCCUUAUGACCUGGGCUACACACGUAAUACAAUGGCCGUUAACAGAGGGAAGCAAAGCGGUGACGCAGAGCAAAACCCUAAAAACGGUCCCAGUUCGGACUGUAGGCUGCAACCCGCCUACACGAAGUUGGAAUUGCUAGUAAUCGCGGAUCAGCAUGCCGCGGUGAAUACGUUCCCGGGCCUUGUACACACCGCCCGUCACACCAUGGGAGUUUGUAACACCCGAAGUCAGUGACCCAACCGCAAGGAGGGAGCUGCCGAAGGUGGGAUAAGCGACUGGGGUGAAGUCGUAACAAGGUAGCCGUAGGAGAACCUGCGGCUG
rnacentral:rRNA from 1 species